AGGGUCCCGCGGCCCCGCCCCGCCGGCGCCAGAGCGAGCGCGGCCUCCGCAGGCACCGGCGGCGGUGCGGGCGCCCGCCGGCCCCGCGGGAGGAUGCAGCCUGAUGGAUAAUCCCACAUAGGAUCACUGAAUCAAUUAGGUGGGAAAAGACACUCUGCAAUCAUUGAGUCCAGCCUUGACCUUGUCAACUAGACCAGAGCAAAUCCAGGCUUUCCUUAAAUAUCUCCAGGGAUGGUGACAAUACCACCUCCCUCAGCAGACCCUUCCAAUAUCUAAUCACCCUUUCUGUGAAAAGAAUUCCUUCUGAUGUACAACCUAAACCUUCACUGGCACAGCUUAAGACUUGUCUUCUCAUCACUGGUUGCCUGGGAGAAGAAGCUGAUCCCCACCUGGCUAAAACCUCCUUUCAGGUAGUUAAAGAGGUAAUGGUAAAGGCCACAAGCUUUUUAAGUAAUGGCAUUAUUAGAUAGAGGUUGUGCUGGUCAGAAGCCAUUA